GUCAGCACCCCGCUCUGAAGAGACGGGGCUUCAUGCCUCUCCUUUGGAUAGCUGACCAGCCUUAGCCUUAACUGGCUACGUUAUCGGGAAGCGUUAAAGUUCUUACCUUGGGAUGCGAAGCUAGUCCCAAGCUCUAAAACUCGGGCAUUUAAACAGUUUUACGAGGGGUAAGACAGUGCUUUCGAGAUAGUACCGACCGAUAACAUUGGCGAAGCUAACAUUAC
rfam:Planktothrix serta PCC 8927 isolate BBR_PRJEB10992 genome assembly, scaffold: BBR_A_PL8927_scaffold5